rnacentral:rRNA from 1 species
UACAGAGGUCUCAAGCGUUGUUCGGAUUCAUUGGGCGUAAAGGGUGCGUAGGCGGCGCGAUAAGUCGGGUGUGAAAUCUUGGAGCUUAACUCCGAAACUGCAUUCGAUACUGCGGUGCUUGAGGACUGGAGAGGAGACUGGAAUUCAUGGUGUAGCAGUGAAAUGCGUAGAGAUCAUGAGGAAGACCAGUGGCGAAGGCGGGUCUCUGGACAGUUCCUGACACUGAGACACGAAGGCCAGGGGAGCAAACGGG